ensembl:misc_RNA Metazoa_SRP Metazoan signal recognition particle RNA
GCCAGGUGCGGUGGCUCACGCCUGUAAUCCCAGCACUUUGGGAGGCUGAGGUAGGAGGAUCACUUGAGCCCAGGAGUUUGGGUCUGCAGUGAGCCAUGAUCGUGCCACUGCACUCCAGCCUGAGCAACGGAGUGAGAUUCUGUCUCUG